rnacentral:rRNA from 1 species
AACGAACGCUGGCGGCAUGCUUAACACAUGCAAGUCGAACGAGGGCUUCGGCCCUAGUGGCGCACGGGUGAGUAACGCGUAGGUAGCUGCCUCGAAGCGGGGAAUAACGGCGGGAAACUGCCGCUAAUGCCGCAUACGCCCUGAGGGGGAAAGCUUGAUGUGCUUCGAGGGGAGCCUGCGGCCGAUUAGGUAGUUGGUGGGUAACGGCACACCAAGCCCGCGAUCAGUAGCUGGUCUGAGAGGAUGACCAGCCACACUGGGACCGAGACACGGCCCAGACUCCUACGGGAGGCAGCAGUGGGGAAUAUUGGACAAUGGGCGCAAGCCUGAUCCAGCCAUGCCGCGUGAGUGACGAAGGUCUUCGGAUUGUAAAGCUCUUUUGCCAGGGACGAUAAUGACGGUACCUGGAGAAUAAGCCCCGGCUAACUUCGUGCCAGCAGCCGCAGUAACAC